rnacentral:rRNA from 1 species
GCGGNAUGCCUAAGACAUGCAAGUCGCACGGUCUGAUUUCGGUCAGAUAGUGGCGGACGGGUGAGUAACACGUAGGUGACCUGCCCUGAAGUCUGGGACAACUAGGAGAAAUCUUAGCUAAUCCCGGAUGUGGACACCGGUCUUGACUGGUGUCUAAAGCUUCGGCGCUUUAGGAUGGGCCUGCGCUGGAUCAGGUAGUUGGUGGGGUAAUGGCCCACCAAGCCGACGACCCAUAGCUGGUCUGAGAGGACGGACGGCCACACUGGGACUGAGACACGGCCCAGACUCCUACGGGAGGCAGCAGUGGGGAAUUUUGCACAAUGGGCGAAAGCCUGAUGCAGCGACGCC